CGGAAAUUGUCAUGGACGAGGUACCUGUAUAGGACCAGACACCUGCAGCUGUAGAUGGGGGUAUACCAGAAAUGCCUGCCAAAAAGGUAAUAAGACUAACCCACUUAUUCUACAAUAUACGUCCAUUCUCGCAUACUUUGAAAGAUCUGGACAGACGAGGGAAUUAUACAGAUCUGUAAUAGAUUCUUCUGAACCGAACUCGACGAAGGCCAUGUGGCUAAACCAAAAGGAUUACAACUAUAUAAAUGUUACAUUUGCCGCUGUCCUCACAUCAGCAGACAACCUAAACAUUUCAAGAAUGAAAAACAGUUUAAAGUGGGAAUCAUAUCUGGAGGCGUUAAUAUCAUUCAUCUCAAAAUGAGCAGACCAGAAAAGACGCCCUUUGUGAGUGGAAAUGAAACCCACCUCUGUGAGAGUCAGCCCAGUUCUCUCUAUCCCAGCGUGGAUUUAUUUCAAUGUAACUACACGGAUGACAAGUUUGACAUGCAGCUGGAACACGGAGACAAUUUAACCCUGACAGCUUUUACUAAAAUCUGGGGUAUUUUUGAAAAAGAC